rnacentral:rRNA from 1 species
AUUGAACGCUGGCGGCAGGCCUAACACAUGCAAGUCGAGCGGAUGAAGGGAGCUUGCUCCUGGAUUCAGCGGCGGACGGGUGAGUAAUGCCUAGGAAUCUGCCUGGUAGUGGGGGAUAACGUCCGGAAGCGGGCGCUAAUACCGCAUACGUCCUGAGGGCGAAAGGGGGGGAUCUUCGGACCUCACGCUAUCAGAUGAGCCUAGGUCGGAUUAGCUAGUUGGUGGGGUAAAGGCCUACCAAGGCGACGAUCCGUAACUGGUCUGAGAGGAUGAUCAGUCACACUGGAACUGAGACACGGUCCAGACUCCUACGGGAGGCAGCAGUGGGGAAUAUUGGACAAUGGGCGAAAGCCUGAUCCAGCCAUGCCGCGUGUGUGAAGAAGGUCUUCGGAUUGUAAAGCACUUUAAGUUGGGAGGAAGGGCAGUAAGUUAAUACCUUGCUGUUUUGACGUUACCAACAGAAUAAGCACCGGCUAACUUCGUG